UCCGCUGUAGUGUAGUGGUUUAGCAUUUCUGGUUUUCAAUCAUCAAUCUCCAGACGACGCGAGUUCAAACCUCGCCAGCGGAA